rnacentral:rRNA from 1 species
UGCCAGACCUACGGGAGGCAGCAGUGGGGAAUAUUGGGCAAUGGGCGCAAGCCUGACCCAGCAACGCCGCGUGAAGGAAGAAGGCUUUCGGGUUGUAAACUUCUUUUAAGAGGGAAGAGCAGAAGACGGUACCUCUUGAAUAAGCCACGGCUAACUACGUGCCAGCAGCCGCGGUAAUACGUAGGUGGCAAGCGUUGUCCGGAUUUACUGGGUGUAAAGGGCGUGUAGCCGGGCUGACAAGUCAGAUGUGAAAUCCCGUGGCUCAACCACGGAGCUGCAUUUGAAACUGUCGGUCUUGAGUAUCGGAGAGGCAGGCGGAAUUCCUAGUGUAGCGGUGAAAUGCGUAGAUAUUAGGAGGAACACCAGUGGCGAAGGCGGCCUGCUGGACGACAACUGACGGUGAGGCGCGAAAGCGUGGGGAGCAAACAGGAUUAGAUACCCCGAGUAAA